UUGAUUUUAGAAGCUACUGUUUUAUCAUCAAAUGCUACUGUUGCUCUAGAUGACAUUAGUAUGACCCAGGAAUGUAAAAUUUCUGAUAAAUCACUUCCAGAUACCAGCAUACUAAAGAAAGGAGAAGAGUAUGUUUUGUCCUCUCCACCUCUUAAUUUUGAAGUUGGAUUUGUAUUACGUGAGGAUACAGGCUACAUUUCAUCCAGCAAAUUCUGUGAUUUUUCCAUCUGACAGCCCAAAUGGAACAGAUGAAGCCCGUUGUGUUGAGGUAAAAGUUUCAGUGUAUGGAAAGCUGCGCGUGGCACAGGCGGCCCCCCGUAUUCCCUCCCAGGAGCUCCCGACGCCCCUCUCUCGGUGCCCAUCCGCCUCUCCCCACCGCUGCAGAAGCCCGGACUGGAGCCCGCAGCACCUCCACAGUCCCCUCACCCUGCAGCAAGAGGUGACCCCGGCCGUGGGGCUGAGCUGA
rnacentral:lncRNA from 1 species